rnacentral:rRNA from 1 species
UACUGAGUGGCAAACGGGUGAGUAUAAUGUGGGAAUCUGCCUUUUGGUUUGGAAUAACACGGGGAAACUUGUGCUAAUACCGAAUAAGCCCUUACGGGGAAAGUUUUAAUGCCGAAAGAUGAGCCCGCACUUGAUUAGCUAGUUGGUAAGGUAAAAGCUUACCAAGGCUACGAUCAAUAGCUGUUCUUAGAGGAAGACCAGCCACAUUGGGACUGAGACACGGCCCAGACUCCUACGGGAGGCAGCAGUGGGGAAUCUUGCACAAUGGGGGAAACCCUGAUGCAGCGAUGCCGCGUGAGUGAAGAAGGCCUUUGGGUUGUAAAACUCUUUCGUCGGGGAGGAAAAUGACUGUACCCGAAUAAGAAGGUCCGGCUAACUUCGUGCCAGCAGCCGCGGUAAUACGAAGGGACCUAGCGUAGUUCGGAAUUACUGGGCUUAAAGAGCUCGUAGGUGGUUAAAAAAGUUGAUGGUGAAAUCCCAAGGCUCAACCUUGGAACUGCCAUCAAAACUUUUUAGCUAGAGUGUGAUAGAGGUAAGUGGAAUUUCUAGUGUAGAGGUGAAAUUCGUAGAUAUUAGAAAGAACACCAAAUGCGAAGGCAACUUACUGGGUCACUACUGACACUGAGGAGCGAAAGCAUGGGUAGCGAAGAGGAUUAGAUACCCUCGUAGUCCAUGCCGUAAACGAUGUGUGCUAGACGUUGGAAAUAUAUUUUUCAGUGUCGCAGCGAAAGCGUUAAGCACACCGCCUGGGGAGUACGACCGCAAGGUUAAAACUCAAAU